GUAAGACCACUGUCGUGACUGAUCGAUGGCUCGUCGCCCGCGAAAUUUGGCGGCCACUACCACGCAAAUUGUUACUCAUGCACAUGGUAUCACCAAGGAAUUGGAACCACUGACCUUUGAAAAUUUCCUUCCACAGAAAUUCCAAUCGCUAGAGAAUUUGCAUGCAGAGAUGUUGCGACUGUAAAUACACUUCCGAUGGACAAAGCUGAAGAGCCGACUAGCCUCACUUCUCGAAGACUUCAAUUCUCUGAGACUAGUGGUUCUGCAAAAUCACUUUCGUCUGCUGCUGAAGUUGUUCGAGAGAAUAGAAAUGCUCAAAUAGGUAAGCCACUCUCAUUUGUACCUCCGAUUGAUAGAGAUGGUCAGAAGGUUGUUAAAAUCAGUGUAGAGGAUCUACAACUUCAGGUGGAUUACUGGGCUAAUGCAUUAAUUGGAUAUGUAAUUGGUGACCAUCCUAAUGCUAAAAUGAUGGAGAAUUUCGUGAUGUAUGUCUGGAAUUUUGUGUCCAAACCUCAGAUACUGAUGCAUGCUGAAGGUUAUUGCAUAUUUCGGUUUAAUAGUAAAGAGGAUAAAGAGUUAGUUAUUCAAUCUGGGCCAUAAUCGUACAGAAACAAACCUAUGGUGUUGAAACCAUGGGAGGUUGAUUUUUCUUUUCAAAAUGAUGUACUCAGCACUGUACCUGUAUGGAUUAGAUUCCCUGGCCUUCCAGUGGGUUACUGGUCUAUUGAUGUUCGGAGCAAGUUGGCUAGUGCAGUGGGUAAGCCAUAGAUUCCCUGGCCUUCCGGUGGGUUACUGGUCUAUUGAUGUUCUGAGCAAGUUGGCUAGUGCAGUGGGUAAGCCAUUGUACACUGACAACUUCACAGCUCACUAUGAGAAGAUCUCUUUUGCACGAGUUUUAGUAGAGGUUGAUGCUGCACAUCCCCUACCUGAUCAGAUUGAUAUUGAAACUCCUUUUGGCCUGAAAAUACAACAGAUCAAAUAUGAUUGGAAACCUAGUUUUGCGACCAUUGCUUGAAAUUUGGUCAUGAC
rnacentral:lncRNA from 1 species